GACGAACGCUGGCGGCGUGCUUAACACAUGCAAGUCGAACGGAAAGGCCUUUUCGGAGGUACUCGAGUGGCGAACGGGUGAGUAACACGUGGGUGAUCUGCCCUGCACUCUGGGAUAAGCCUGGGAAACUGGGUCUAAUACCGGAUAGGACCGCACUUUAGUGUGUGUGGUGGAAAGUUUUUUCGGUGUAGGAUGAGCCCGCGGCCUAUCAGCUUGUUGGUGGGGUAAUGGCCUACCAAGGCGGCGACGGGUAGCCGGACUGAGAGGUUGGUCGGCCACAUUGGGACUGAGAUACGGCCCAGACUCCUACGGGAGGCAGCAGUGGGGAAUAUUGCACAAUGGGCGCAAGCCUGAUGCAGCGACGCCGCGUGGGGGAUGACGGCCUUCGGGUUGUAAACUCCUUUCGCCAGGGACGAAGCGUUUUGUGACGGUACCUGGAGAAGAAUCACCGGCUAACUACGUG
rnacentral:rRNA from 1 species